rnacentral:rRNA from 1 species
GUGCAAAGGUAGCAUAAUCAUUUGCUUUUUAAUUGAAGGCCAGUAUGAAAGGACACACAAGGAUAAAACUGUCUCUCUUAAAUUAAAUAUAAACUGAUAAUUAGGUGAAGAAGCCUAAAUUAUAAUAAAGGACAAAAAGACCCUAUAGAGCUUUACUGGCUAGAGUAUUAUACUCAAUAUCAGGUUGGUUGGGACAACCAAAAGACAUUAUCACCUCUUUUUAAAAUUAUAAAAUACUUACCCAAUAAUGUAUAAAAAAUAGCUACCUUAGGGAUAACAGGCUAAUCCCACUAGAGAGAUCACAUUGACAGUGGGGGUUGGCACCUCGAUGUUGGCUUAGUGUAACUAUUAGGCGCAGUCGCCUAAUAAGUUGGUUUGUUCAACCAUUAAAUCACUACGUGAUC